rnacentral:rRNA from 1 species
GUGCCAGCAGCCGCGGUAAUACAGAGGGUGCAAGCGUUAAUCGGAAUUACUGGGCGUAAAGCGCGCGUAGGUGGUUGUGUAAGUUGGAUGUGAAAGCCCCGGGCUUAACCUGGGAACUGCAUUCAAAACUGCACGGCUAGAGUACGGGAGAGGGGGGUAGAAUUCCAGGUGUAGCGGUGAAAUGCGUAGAGAUCUGGAGGAAUACCGAUGGCGAAGGCAGCCCCCUGGCCUGAUACUGACACUGAGGUGCGAAAGCAUGGGGAGCAAACAGGAUUAGAUACCCUUGUAGUCC